GUUAAUUCACAUAAGUAUUGCUACUUAGAUGAAGGGCCUUCUUUAUGUUGGACAGAAAAUGGUUUUGCUUUCUUAAUUUCUUGGCAAAGAGUCUAAUUGUAAUUGUUGCCAGAUGGGUGGUCUCAGAGAGGGUAGUACAGCUUACUCUGGAGACAUACAAGGAUAGCCUCUUCUUCCUGACACAGCCCAGAAGUGCUUCAAGCAGGACUCAAGGUUUGUAAUCUCCUGGUCUGUCAGAAGCAAGCCAUAAAGUAAUGUUUGAUGGCAAUCCGUGAGCUGAAACAACAGAGCUCUUUCUUUUUUUCUGCCAAAUAACAUGGCAGUCACCUCUAAGAUUUCUACACAAAAGAAUGUUCUAGUUGAUAUAAUUCUGGAUUACACUCAAUGUAUCACAAUCUGCCAGCAGAAAAAUAUAAUGACUUGCUAUUUUUUGAACCUAUUUUAAGAAAAAAAGAAUGAAAAAUAAUACUGUGAAAGUUGAAUGACCUUAACAAAUGCAAACAACAAGGUAAUGUUGAAAUUCAAAGAUGAAGAGCUGUG
rnacentral:lncRNA from 1 species